rnacentral:rRNA from 1 species
UACGAAGGGGGCUAGCGUUGCUCGGAAUUACUGGGCGUAAAGCGCACGUAGGCGGAUUGUUAAGUCGGGGGUAAAAUCCUGGAGCUCAACUCCAGAACUGCCUUCGAUACUGGCGAUCUCGAGUUCGGGAGAGGUGAGUGGAACUGCGAGUGUAGAGGUGAAAUUCGUAGAUAUUCGCAAGAACACCAGUGGCGAAGGCGGCUCACUGGCCCGAUACUGACGCUGAGGUGCGAAAGCGUGGGGAGCAAACAGG